GAUGAACGCUGGCGGCGUGCCUAAUACAUGCAAGUCGAGCGAACGGACGAGAAGCUUGCUUCUCUGAUGUUAGCGGCGGACGGGAGUGUAACACGUGGAUAACCUACCUAUAAGACUGGGAUAACUUCGGGAAACCGGAGCUAAUACCGUAUAAUAUUUUGAACCGCAUUGUUCAAAAGUGAAAGACGGUCUUGCUGUCACUUAUAGAUGGAUCCGCGCUGCAUUAGCUAGUUGGUAAGGUAACGGCUUACCAAGGCAACGAUGCAUAGCCGACCUGAGAGAGUGAUCGGCCACACUGGAGCUGAGACACGGUCAAGACGCCUACGGGAGGCAGCAGUAGGGAAUCGGCCGCAACGGGCGAAAGCAUGACGGAGCAACGGCGCGCGAGAGAUGAAGGUCUUCGGAGCGUAAAACUCUGUUAUGAGGGAAGAACAUAUGUGGAAGGAACUGAGCAGAGCGUGACGGUAACUAAUCAGAAAGCCACGGCUAACUACGUG
rnacentral:rRNA from 1 species